UACUGUUUAGGAUUCGCUGAGGAAAAUGAUGAACAAGUUUCCCAUCAAUGGCUCAGCAAAUCCGUGUACCAAAAUCUACUUUGUUCGUUUUGUUUCCAUCAGUUGGGGGAUGCUCUGUUUGGAUCCUCUUGUUUUGGUGCAUGCCACGUGUAUUGGCUUGGCUAGCUCACAAGCCUUCUCACUGUUUCUACAGUACCCCUCAUAAGUCAUUACUGUUUUAAACACCUACAACCCAUGACUUCAAUGUAAAUGCACAGAGAGAGAGAGAGAGAGAGGUGAAGUUCCUGGAGAGAACUAGGAAACCACAAGGAAGUAGUAGACAUGGAAGGUGGCAGCAGCUCAUUCAAUUCAGCCAAACAGAGAUCAAAGCUGGAAAUGCUGCAGAAAGAGCAUGAGGAGAAAAUGCGGAGAAUUCAAGAGCUCAAGAAACAAAUGGCUGAAACCAAGAUUCAUCUGGAGGAAAAGAAAAAUGAAGUUCCAGAGGGGAAAAGGGAGGCUUUUAGGAUGUUAACUGAGAAAUACAACAACUUGAGGGAUGAGUACAAUAACAAAUGCAAUAACAAGUACUAGUUUUAAGGCCAGCUAGUUUUUUUUUGUUUUUGUUUGUAUAUAUAACCGGAUGUUCGGGCCAGCUUGCGCGCACCUCGAUUAAUUCCGAAAACCUGAAGAUAAUGACCAGGCAUAACCUCCAGUGACCCCAAGGUUUGGAAUGGUUAGCCUUUGUAAACAUGCGACCACCUCCUGGUCAAACAUUUAUUGCUUUCUCGAUAAAUAAAUUUUAGGGUUUUCCUUUCCAGUUUUAUUGGUUUAAGAAAAGUACCCCUACAGGAUUGGUUCAAUGACAUGGUCAUUCCAGUACCUUAAAUUUCACAAUA